rnacentral:lncRNA from 1 species
UCCCUCCCCUAAGCUGGGCGAGUAUGCAUGGUGGAGUUACCAUCUCUCCGAUGGCUCCUGGUCGUUGUAUCGCUGGAGGCGCUGUUUGAGGUAGAUCAGAUCGGAGUUCGUCUGAUCUGAAUCUCCAGCAGCAGUCAGUUGUUCGCAUCCUUUCUCUCUCUCUCAGGCUCCAGGUCAGCUCGUGUGCUCCUCCCACCUCGUCGGCGGCAAGCCGGUUGCCAGCUCCUUCCCGACCGGUUAUGCGACGUCGUGCGAACCUACAAAUCUUCAACAUGGUGAUUCAUUUUCCUGGUAAAUACUCCGAUUUUUACUUUCAAGUAAAUUUAUUCAUCUCUAUAGUUCUAUUUUCCUUUACUUGUUCAUAUCAAACCUGCUCUUGUGUAAAUGAUACAUUUUAGUAACUUCGAUUUGAAGGUGUGUUUCUACUGUCCGUGGUGGUUUGGUACUCUAAUUUGCAACUUUUGUUUCAUUGAUAAGUACUUUGGAGAACCAAGCUGGGAGGUUGAGGAUGAUUGGAUAAUCAUAGGGCCUUGAAGUUUAGGACAAUCACUAAAAACCUUAGUAUCUGUAGUACGGAUACAUGGUCAAUAGCUUGACAAGCUGUAAAGAAAGUAAUUCAUUUUACUUGGCAAACAAAUUGAAAUGGCCCCAUUUGUCAGCAUAUCGCAAUUUUGAUUCAUGUUACUUCGGAUUUUUCCACUAAUAGAAUGAUCUUAUCUUUAAGAUGAAAACUAUGAAGCUCUCUUUAAAUCUUUGAUAUGUAGAUCAGGUAGGUACUACUUUGGUAUAUGCAUAUACCGAAGCCGCCUCAGAUUAUGAGGAAAACAGAAUCACUAGCAAUGUUGCAAAGGGAGGUACCAUGAAACAACCACGAAGGUUUUUACUUGUCCCAAGCACCUUUAGAUGUGCAACCACAGCAACAUGAUCGGUGGCAUUAAGCAGGCCAGCAAGCAAGAAUAGUAUUCCCAGUUCCAACAAUAGCCACGACAAAUACACUGGCUAUCAAAGUAUUAAAGCCGAUAAUAUACAUCCAUUUUAAUUGUAAUCUGAGGCACCUUGAGUGGAGUGCCAAGUAAAAAUGUCGGCAUUAGCACACCAGGACCAGCACUAUCAGGAAAGAACAUUGGUGUAAGGAAGUAAGGAAUACGCUGAUGUACCUAUGAUUCUGAUAAUCCCUUGUCUGAUGUUUUUUGCAAAAAAUUGUUUGCAGCAGUGCAAUUGAUCAAUAGUUCUCAAAAUCAAGAUUUCAGCGAUUCUACCUUAUUUGCAGAGAUUAAUUCCCCAAUGCUUCUCAUUGAUGAUUCCAGUACACCGAAAAAGAAACAAUCGUUCUCUCAAGUGGUACACACACUUUUGAAUAUUAUGCAAUAUAAUUUCUUACCUUUUUCCAUGUUAAAGUCCAUGAUUCAGUCAUGUGUGAUAGGACAGUAUACAACCUUAUCAUGUGUCAUGUCUAUUGCCGGCCAUAGGUGCCGAACUAGUACGAGAUAAAGUAAACAACUGAGAGAUUUCCAUGUCCAUGGUUAAAACUAUAAGGUCCCUGUUGUUUUCUAUCGCUGGUCACAACCUGUAAUACUCGCUAGAUAGGCAUUACAUGUGGUGAAUACCGAAUAGUAAUUGAAUUUAGGUUGGUUGAAAGUAUAUGUUUUGGUUGUGAUAGAAAAUGAGAUCUCAUAAGUGCAUAACAUGUAUUUUUUACUAAAUAAUUUUUACUGCUAACCAUUCUGGCCCAGCACAGAGAAAAGAUUGGUUAUGGAGAGAGAGUUGCAGUGGCCGUGGUUGGGUGGGUGUGAUCGUUGGUAUGACGAAACAAAGAUCACCUGCAGUGCACCAUAGUAAGUAGCAAAUCGUACCCAUGGCUGGCGCAACGGCGUGGAGCAGGCUGCAGGGUCGGGGUGGUGCUGUGACGUGUGCAUCACAACAGAAGAAGCUUGAUGAGCAAAAAGUACUAGAACUGGAGGCAAAGGCUGGAGGCAAGCUAGCAAAGUUGAUGCAGUUUUUUAAUGGCAACGCUUCUUGAGCUGUGAUUAGUUUAGUCAUUCAUACUUAGUCUUACCCAUGAUGUACGCAAAAUUAUCCUCUCAAGCAAUGUAAUAUGUAUGUCUGUCUAUUUUGUUGUGUCCUGUCUGGAGUCGUGCAGUUCAGAAUGUAUGUUUGCUUGAAGUGGAGUAUUAAGGACCAUAUACUCAAAUAUUUGUGGUGAGGUUCACUUACUCGUUAGUGACUAACAUGUUUGGACUUCUUCUAAAAAAACCUGUUUGGAUUUCUUGUAUGAUUUGUGAUGUAGCACAAGCUGCUAGCGAAAUCAAAUAUACUGCAGAUUUCAUGCAAUAGAUUUUAUA